CCUUGCAAUUAACCCCUGGUCAGGCCUGAUCUGAACCACUUUGGGAGGCAAGCAGGAUUAGGCCUGGUCAGUCCUUGGAUGGGAGACCACCAUGGAAUACCAGCCUUUGCAGGGG
rnacentral:rRNA from 12 species